UACAGAGGUCUCAAGCGUUGUUCGGAUUCAUUGGGCGUAAAGGGUGCGUAGGCGGCGCGGUAAGUCGGGUGUGAAAUCUCGGAGCUUAACUCCGAAACUGCAUUCGAUACUGCCGCGCUUGAGGACUGGAGAGGAGACUGGAAUUUACGGUGUAGCGGUGAAAUGCGUAGAUAUCGUAAGGAAGACCAGUGGCGAAGGCGGGCCUCUGGACAGUUCCUGACGCUGAGGCACGAAGGUCAGGGGAGCAAACAGG
rnacentral:rRNA from 1 species